CAGUAGCCGCGGGAAUACGUAGGUGGCAAGCGUUGUCCGGAAUUAUUGGGCGUAAAGCGCGCGCAGGUGGUUUAAUAAGUCUGAUGUGAAAGCCCACGGCUCAACCGUGGAGGGUCAUUGGAAACUGUUAAACUUGAGUGCAGGAGAGAAAAGUGGAAUUCCUAGUGUAGCGGUGAAAUGCGUAGAGAUUAGGAGGAACACCAGUGGCGAAGGCGGCUUUUUGGCCUGUAACUGACACUGAGGCGCGAGAGCGUGGGGAGCAAACAGGAUUAGAUACCCCCGUAGUCCCUGUCUCUUAUAC
rnacentral:rRNA from 1 species